GACGAACGCUGGCGGCGUGCUUAACACAUGCAAGUCGAACGGAAAGGCCCUGCUUUUGUGGGGUGCUCGAGUGGCGAACGGGUGAGUAACACGUGAGUGACCUGCCCUUGACUUUGGGAUAACUUCAGGAAACUGGGGCUAAUACCGGAUAGGAGCCCCUGCUGCAUGGUGGGGGUUGGAAAGUUUCGGCGGUUGGGGAUGGACUCGCGGCUUAUCAGCUUGUUGGUGGGGUAGUGGCUUACCAAGGCUUUGACGGUUAGCCGGCCUGAGAGGGUGACCGGCCACAUUGGGACUGAGAUACGGCCCAGACUCCUACGGGAGGCAGCAGUGGGGAAUAUUGCACAAUGGGUGGAAGCCUGAUGCAGCAACGCCGCGUGCGGGAUGACGGCCUUCGGGUUGUAAACCGCUUUCGCCUGUGACGAAGCGUGAGUGACGGUAAUGGGUAAAGAAGCACCGGCUAACUACGUG
rnacentral:rRNA from 1 species